rnacentral:misc_RNA from 1 species
AAGUCGUAACAAGGUCUCCGUAGGUGAACCUGCGGAGGGAUCAUUAACACGUUUUCUAACGUUUAACCACAAACCAACCGCGUGAAUUCAAUUGAAUUAUACCCGACUUGAGAGAGAGAGAACCUGUCUUUAUACACGGAGUGAUGAGUGUGUAUUGAUUUAUGUGAAAGCAUAGGUCAUGCAUACGGUGUAUUUAGGCUUGUAGUGCUUUGACAUUACGGGAUUUCUCUCCUUCAAGCUAUCAACAAUUACCAAUGUUCUCUUCAUCGCUGGAACGAACACACCCCUUUCACCCCUUUAUAACUAACUAGACUGAUAUUUUCUUGUUUGUUUUUUUGUUCCAAUGGGCAACCAUUGUGAUGAUUAACAUUAAAGGAAUGAUUUUAAUCAAAUAUCUAAGCACAACUCUUAGCAACGGAUAUCUUGGUUCUC